rnacentral:rRNA from 1 species
AGUGAACGCUGGCGGUAGGCCUAACACAUGCAAGUCGAACGGCAGCACAGUAAGAGCUUGCUCUUACGGGUGGCGAGUGGCGGAGGGGAGAGGAAUACAUCGGACUCUACUUUUUCGUGGGGGAUAACGUAGGGAAACUUACGCUAAUACCGCAUACGACCUACGGGUGAAAGCAGGGGAUCUUCGGACCUUGCGCGAUUGAAUGAGCCGAUGUCGGAUUAGCUAGUUGGCGGGGUAAAGGCCCACCAAGGCGACGAUCCGUAGCUGGUCUGAGAGGAUGAUCAGCCACACUGGAACUGAGACACGGUCCAGACUCCUACGGGAGGCAGCAGUGGGGAAUAUUGGACAAUGGGCGCAAGCCUGAUCCAGCCAUACCGCGUGUGUGAAGAAGGCCUUCGGGUUGUAAAGCCCUUUUGUUGGGAAAGAAAAGCAGCAGGUUAAUACCCCGCUGUUCUGACGUUACCCAAAGAAUAAGCACCGGCUAACUUCGUG